CACUCCCCACAGGCCACUCCAUUCUGGCUCUAUUUAUCCUCAUCUCCCCAAAGCUCCUGCACCCCUCCUUUCUCCUCCCGACCUUCCCCUCAUUCUAGCCCCGGUCUCCCUCUGCCUCCACUUCACCCUAUUAAGAAACAACCGCCCCACAGAAGCCUCUGCCCCUGGCGGCAGCUCCCUGAGCCCCGCCCGCCCUCCCUCCUCCUGCAACUGCUCCUCUCCCUGACAGAUGCCUCAGAGCCCCGGGCCGCAGUUAAGGUGACGAGAUGCAGCAAUUCUUUAUGAACAUUUCAUUCCUGCUCGCUACACGACGUAAAUUAGAUGGUGUGUUACAUUCGGGCAAUAAGAGAGAUAUGUCACCACGACGCUGGCCCAUUGGAUGGAGAGGGGGUUUGGCGAAGAGCUGAAAGGAUUUCACCCUGAUGUGCACACUACUGAGUGACCCUGCUCACCAGCGGCUCCGCUGAUUGCUUUGCACCUUGCAGACUCCGCGACUGGCUCGGCCUCUUGCAGGCCUCGCUCCCUCCGGGCCUCCAGCCCACCCCGCCCCUGCCUGGCUUUCUCUGGAAGCCAAAGCCGAGAGACCUAACAGAGAUGUCACAAAGGUCAUGAAGGGAUGUGUCUGUGGGGAGAAGCAGGACGGCAGAGCUA
rnacentral:lncRNA from 1 species